AAAAAAGACAAAAAAAAAGAUAAACUUGGAAAGACAAUUCCUCUACAUCUGUUGAUUAUAUAUAUGCAUAUAUAUAGAUAUAUAUACACACACAUAUAUAUAAACUCAGAUAACAGACUUGGGAUAAACACAUAAUUUUCUGCAAACUCUGCUAUGGUCACUUUAACAUGGCACUGUGUCAAUCCAGCAUUCACCCAAACAUUGAAAGGAGAUGUUAGUGUCCUACAGAAUCAUCUUCAAAUUCCCCACUAGGCUCAUGAAUUAUAAGGUAGUGGUUUUAUACACCACACCCUGCAGUACAGAGUUUGGCUUGGCUCUUCUCCGGAUUUCAGCUUCCCCAAAUGCAAACUAGCAAGUGGAGCCAUCCUAUGCCCCCUGAGAAUGGCAGAACCCUAAAGUUGGCAGCCUCUUCAGUUUGCAGGAGAGGAUGUGAGAACAGAGAAAACAAUGGCUUGCCCAAGGCCAAGUGGCCAUUGAGGGACAAAUCCAAGCCUGGUGCCUAUACUGCUCAACUAAGGCCUUAAAAAACAUGCAAACCAGAACUUACUUCUAUUUUCUAUCACCGUGGCACAUCAGGAAUUUAUGCUGACAAAUAUGACUCACAGCAUCCUCCUCCUCCUAAAGCUCGUAAAAUGCCCCAGUGAGGCCUUCUGUGUUUGCAAAUGUUUUUUGGUGUGGAGAGAUGUGUGGCUGUAACUGAGUAAGGUAUGGGCAGGCUGUGGUACUUUGCUUAUGAGUGUGCAAUAAUAUAUGUCUGUAUCUGUAGUGAUCUUGAAUGUGUGUGGCAAAAGGAAGUCCAGUUAACUUUUGCUUUCUAAUCAUGAGUUCCUCUCAACAGGCCCAGGCAACACUGACAGACUAGAAAAAAAAAUAUCAGGAGAUGAAGCUGACACAGUGAGAGCGGCCCAGGUGCUUCUUGGUGCUUGUUAUUACAGACACACACUUCACACAGGGGAGGAUUAUUUUAAUUCUGUGGCCUUCAGAUCUCAUAAAUACAAGUAAAAACAAGCAGCUGGGGUUUUCAUGCUACUUCAAAGUCAUUUCUCCCAACUGCACAUGGAGACAGGCCAUCCCCUUGCCACCUGACGCCAGGAAGGAAUCUGGAGGAGAACCUCUCGUCGGCAUGAUGCAAUCUGGCAGGCCCGCCUUCACUUUCUACCUGGUGUUGCAGUGUGCAUUCUGGGUCCUUCCAGAAACAUCCUGAGCUGCUGCCAGGGUCUCACCUUUCAUAUUCAGAUUAAAGCAAGUCUAUAUUAACACA